AAGGCGAGGCCGAAAGGCGUAGUCGAUGGGAAACGGGUUAAUAUUCCCGUACUUGGUGUUACUGCGAAGGGGGGACGGAGAAGGCUAUGUUGGCCGGGCGACGGUUGUCCCGGUUUAAGCGUGUAGGCUGGUUUUCCAGGCAAAUCCGGAAAAUCAAGGCUGAGGCGUGACGACGAGGCACUACGGUGCUGAAGCAACAAAUGCCCUGCUUCCAGGAAAAGCCUCUAAGCAUCAGGUAACACGAAAUCGUACCCCAAACCGACACAGGUGGUCAGGUAGAGAAUACCAAGGCGCUUGAGAGAACUCGGGUGAAGGAACUAGGCAAAAUGGUGCCGUAACUUCGGGAGAAGGCACGCUGAUAUGUAGGUGAAGCGGUUUACCCGUGGAGCUGAAAUCAGUCGAAGAUACCAGCUGGCUGCAACUGUUUAUUAAAAACACAGCACUGUGCAAACACGAAAGUGGACGUAUACGGUGUGACGCCUGCCCGGUGCCGGAAGGUUAAUUGAUGGGGUCAGCGCAAG
rnacentral:rRNA from 1 species